rnacentral:rRNA from 1 species
CCUACGGGUGGCAGCAGUGAGGAAUAUUGGUCAAUGGCCGCAAGGCUGAACCAGCCAAGCCGCGUGAGGGACGACUGCUCUAUGGGUUGUAAACUUCUUUUAUAAGGGGAGAAUAAAUGAUACGCGUAGCAUGAUGCCUGUAUCUUAUGAAUAAGCAUCGGCUAACUCCGUGCCAGCAGCCGCGGUAAUACGGAGGAUGCGAGCGUUAUCCGGAUUUAUUGGGUUUAAAGGGUGCGUAGGCGGUUUAUUAAGUUAGGGGGUAAACCUCCGGGGUUUACUUUGGAAUUGCCAUUAAUACUGUAAGACUCGAGUUCAGACGAGGUAGGCGGAAUAAGUUGAGUAGCGGUGAAAUGCUUAGAUAUAACAUAGAACACCGAUUGCGAAGGCAGCUUACCAGACUGCGACUGACGCUGAGGCACGAGAGCGUGGGGAGCGAACAGGAUUAGAUACCCGAGUAGUC